GACGAACGCUGGCGGCGUGCCUAAUACAUGCAAGUCGAGCGCAGGAAGCCGUCUGAACCCUUCGGGGGGACGACGGUGGAAUGAGCGGCGGACGGGUGAGUAACACGUAAAGAACCUGCCCAUAGGUCUGGGAUAACCACGAGAAAUCGGGGCUAAUACCGGAUGUGUCAUCGGACCGCAUGGUCCGCUGAUGAAAGGCGCUCCGGCGUCGCCCAUGGAUGGCUUUGCGGUGCAUUAGCUAGUUGGUGGGGUAACGGCCCACCAAGGCGACGAUGCAUAGCCGACCUGAGAGGGUGAUCGGCCACACUGGGACUGAGACACGGCCCAGACUCCUACGGGAGGCAGCAGUAGGGAAUCUUCCACAAUGGACGAAAGUCUGAUGGAGCAACGCCGCGUGAACGAUGAAGGCUUUCGGGUCGUAAAGUUCUGUUGUAAGGGAAGAACAAGUGCCGCAGGCAAUGGCGGCACCUUGACGGUACCUUGCGAGAAAGCCACGGCUAACUACGUGCCAGCCGCCGCGGUAACAC
rnacentral:rRNA from 1 species